GGCGUAAAGCGUGCGUAGGCGGCUUUUUAAGUCGGAUGUGAAAUCCCUGAGCUUAACUUAGGAAUUGCAUUCGAUACUGGAAAGCUAGAGUAUGGGAGAGGAUGGUAGAAUUCCAGGUGUAGCGGUGAAAUGCGUAGAGAUCUGGAGGAAUACCGAUGGCGAAGGCAGCCAUCUGGCCUAAUACUGACGCUGAGGUACGAAAGCAUGGGGAGCAAACAGGAUUAGAUACCCUGGUAGUCCAUGCCGUAAACGAUGUCUACUAGCCGUUGGGGCCUUUGAGGCUUUAGUGGCGCAGCUAACGCGAUAAGUAGACCGCCUGGGGAGUACGGUCGCAAGACUAAAACUCAAAUGAAUUGACGGGGGCCCGCACAAGCGGUGGAGCAUGUGGUUUAAUUCGAUGCAACGCGAAGAACCUUACCUGGCCUUGACAUACUAAGAACUUUCCAGAGAUGGAUUGGUGCCUUCGGGAACUUAGAUACAGGUGCUGCAUGGCUGUCGUCAGCUCGUGUCGUGAGAUGUUGGGUUAAGUCCCGCAACGAGCGCAACCCUUUUCCUUAUUUGCCAGCGGGUAAUGCCGGGAACUUUAAGGAUACUGCCAGUGACAAACUGGAGGAAGGCGGGGACGACGUCAAGUCAUCAUGGCCCUUACGGCCAGGGCUACACACGUGCUACAAUGGUCGGUACAAAGGGUUGCUACCUCGCGAGAGGAUGCUAAUCUCAAAAAGCCGAUCGUAGUCCGGAUCGCAGUCUGCAACUCGACUGCGUGAAGUCGGAAUCGCUAGUAAUCGCGGAUCAGAAUGCCGC
rnacentral:rRNA from 1 species